rnacentral:rRNA from 1 species
CCUACGGGUGGCAGCAGUGAGGAAUAUUGGUCAAUGGGCUUACGCCUGAACCAGCCAAGUCGCGUGAGGGAAGACUGCCCUAUGGGUUGUAAACCUCUUUUGUCAGGGAGCAACGCCGGCUACGUGUAGCCUGCCUGAGAGUCCCUGAAGAAAAAGCCUCGGCUAACUCCGUGCCAGCAGCCGCGGUAAUACGGAGGAUGCGAGCGUUAUCCGGAUUUAUGGGGUUUAACGGGUGCGUAGGCGGAAUGCCAAGUCAGCGGUAAAAUCGCGGGGCUCAACCUCGCUCCGCCGUUGAAACUGGCGUUCUUGAGUGGGCGAGAAGUAGGCGGAAUGCGUGGUGUAGCGGUGAAAUGCAUAGAUACCACGCAGAACUCCGAUUGCGAAGGCAGCAUACCGGCGCGCAACUGACGCUGAAGCACGAAAGCGUGGGUAUCGAACAGGAUUAGAUACCCUUGUAGUC